rnacentral:rRNA from 1 species
CGAGUAGAGCGGCGCACGGGUGCGUAACACGUGGAUAAUCUGCCCUUGAAUUCGGGAUAACCUUCCGAAAGGUUGGCUAAUACCGGGUAAGCUCACGGUGACUUCGGUCGCUGUGGGAAAAGUAGACCUCUGUUUACAAGUUUACGUUUGAGGAUGAGUCCGCGGCCCAUCAGCUAGUUGGCGGGGUAAUGGCCCACCAAGGCUACGACGGGUAGCUGGUCUGAGAGGACGAUCAGCCACACUGGAACUGAGACACGGUCCAGACUCCUACGGGAGGCAGCAGUGGGGAAUUUUCCACAAUGGGCGAAAGCCUGAUGGAGCAACGCCGCGUGUGUGAUGAAGGUCUUCGGAUCGUAAAGCACUUUCGACCGGGACGAAAAACCUCUGGCUAACAUCCAGGGGCCUGACGGUACCGGGAGAAGAAGCACCGGCUAACUCUGUGCCAGCAGCCGCGGUAAUACAGAGGGUGCAAGCGUUGUUCGGAAUUAUUGGGCGUAAAGCGCGUGUAGGCGGCUUGGCAAGUCAGAUGUGAAAGCCCAUGGCUUAACCAUGGAAGUGCGUCUGAAACUGCUGAGCUUGAGUGCCGGAGAGGAUGGCGGAAUUCCGCAAGUAGAGGUGAAAUUCGUAGAUAUGCGGAGGAACACCGGUGGCGAAGGCGGCCAUCUGGACGGCAACUGACGCUGAGACGCGAAAGCGUGGGGAGCAAACAGGAUUAGAUACCCUGGUAGUCCACGCUGUAAACGAUGAGAACUAGGUGUCGUGGGUGUUGACCCCCGCGGUGCCGUAGCUAACGCAUUAAGUUCU